CAAUAGCGUAUAUUUAAGUUGUUGCAGUUAAAAAGCUCGUAGUUGGAUUUCGGAUGGGAUUUGCCGGUCCGUCGUUACGAUGUGCACUGGCCAGUCCUAUCUUGUUGUCGGGGACUAGCUCCUUGGAUUCACUUCCUGGGACUAGGAGCUGACGAGGUUACUUUGAGUAAAUUAGAGUGUUCAAAGCAAGCCUACGCUCUGAAUACAUUAGCAUGGAAUAACACGAUAGGACUCUGGCUUAUCUUGUUGGUCUGUGGGACCAGAGUAAUGAUUAAGAGGGACAGUCGGGGACAUUCGUAUUUCAUUGUCAGAGGUGAAAUUCUUGGAUUUAUGAAAGACGAACUUCUGCGAAAGCAUUUGUCAAGGAUGUUUNCAUUAA
rnacentral:rRNA from 1 species